rnacentral:rRNA from 2 species
GAGCGUUCUGUAAGCCUGUGAAGGUGUGUCGUGAGGCAUGCUGGAGGUAUCAGAAGUGCGAAUGCUGACAUAAGUAACGAUAAAGCGGGUGAAAAGCCCGCUCGCCGGAAGACCAAGGGUUCCUGUCCAACGUUAAUCGGGGCAGGGUGAGUCGACCCCUAAGGCGAGGCCGAAAGGCGUAGUCGAUGGGAAACGGGUUAAUAUUCCCGUACUUGGUGUUACUGCGAAGGGGGGACGGAGAAGGCUAUGUUGGCCGGGCGACGGUUGUCCCGGUUUAAGCGUGUAGGUGUGUGUUCCAGGUAAAUCCGGUUCACUUUAACACUGAGGCGUGACGACGAGGCACUACGGUGCUGAAGCAACAAAUGCCCUGCUUCCAGGAAAAGCCUCUAAGCAUCAGGUAACAUCAAAUCGUACCCCAAACCGACACAGGUGGUCAGGUAGAGAAUACCAAGGCGCUUGAGAGAACUCGGGUGAAGGAACUAGGCAAAAUGGUGCCGUAACUUCGGGAGAAGGCACGCUGACACGUAGGUGAAGUGAUUUACUCAUGGAGCUGAAGUCAGUCGAAGAUACCAGCUGGCUGCAACUGUUUAUUAAAAACACAGCACUGUGCAAACACGAAAGUGGACGUAUACGGUGUGACGCCUGCCCGGUGCCGGAAGGUUAAUUGAUGGGGUCAGCGCAAGCGAAGCUCCUGAUCGAAGCCCCGGUAAACGGCGGCCGUAACUAUAACGGUCCUAAGGUAGCGAAAUUCCUUGUCGGGUAAGUUCCGACCUGCACGAAUGGCGUAAUGAUGGCCAGGCUGUCUCCACCCGAGACUCAGUGAAAUUGAACUCGCUGUGAAGAUGCAGUGUACCCGCGGCAAGACGGAAAGACCCCGUGAACCUUUACUAUAGCUUGACACUGAACAUUGAGCCUUGAUGUGUAGGAUAGGUGGGAGGCUUUGAAGUGUGGACGCCAGUCUGCAUGGAGCCGACCUUGAAAUACCACCCUUUAAUGUUUGAUGUUCUAACGUGGACCCGUAAUCCGGGUUGCGGACAGUGUCUGGUGGGUAGUUUGACUGGGGCGGUCUCCUCCUAAAGAGUAACGGAGGAGCACGAAGGUUGGCUAAUCCUGGUCGGACAUCAGGAGGUUAGUGCAAUGGCAUAAGCCAGCUUGACUGCGAGCGUGACGGCGCGAGCAGGUGCGAAAG